GCGUUUGGUCUGUUUUAGGGCAAAUUCUGUACAACAUGUAAUAUAUGGGUACCUAACUUGGAAAAAUUAUGUGAACGACAUUUUUAAGCAUGGAUUGGGUUAUAAAAAGUUAUGUUGGACGAGCCACGAAAGAGUUAGUAUCGAGGGGUUUUUUUGUGUCCUUUGUUUUCGAGUCGCGUUUCGUAGGUUUAAGGGCAAAUUAUGCACAAGCUGUCAUAUAUGGGUACCUAACUUGGAAAAAUUAUGUGAACGGCAUUUUUUAAUUAUUUAAUUGGGUUAUAAAAAGUUAUGUUGGAGGAGCCACGAUAGAGUUAGUUAUCGAGGAGCUUUUGCGUGUCCUUUGUUUUCGAGUCGCGUUUGGUCGCUUUUAGGGCAAAUGCUGGACAAGCUGUCAUAUAUGGGUACCUGACUUGGAAAAAUUCUAUGAGCAGAAUUUUUUAAGCAUCGGGUAGCAAUAAGUUAUUUUGGACGAGCCAAGAAAGAGGUAGUUAUCGAGUAGUUUUUGCCUGUCCUUUGUUUUCGGGUCGCGUUUGGUCGGUUUUAAGACAAAUAUUGUACAAGACGUCAUAUAUGGGUACCUAACGUGGAAAAAUUAUGUAAACGACAUUUUCUAAGCAUGGAUUGGGUAGCAAUAAGUUAUUUUGGACGAGCCAAGAAAGAGGUAGUUAUCGUGGAGGUUUUGCAUGUCCUUUAUUUUUGAGUCGCGUUCGGUCGGUUUUAGGGCAAAUUCUGUACAAUAUGUAAUAUAUGGGUACCUAACUUGGAAAAAUUAUGUGAAUGGAAUUUUUUAAGCAUGGAUUGGGUUAUAAAAUGUUAUGUUGGAGGAGCCACGAAAGAGUUAGUUAUCGAGGAUUUUUUGCGUGUCCUUUGUUUUCGAGUCGCGUUCCGUCGGUUUUAGGGUACAUUCCGUACAAGAUGUCAUGUAUGGUUACCUAACUUGGAAAAUUUGUAUGAACUGAAUUUUUUAAGCACGGAUUGGGUAGCUAAAAGUUAUUUUGGAUGAGCCAUGAAAGAGGUAGUUAUCAAGGAGUUUUUGCGUGUUCUUUGUUUUCAAGUCGCGUUUGGUCCUUUCAAGGGCAAAUUCUGUACAAGAUGUCAUAUAUGGGUUCCUAAGUUUGAAUAAUUCUAUGAACGGCAUUUUUUAAGCAUGGAUUGGGUACCAAAAAGUUAUGUUGGACGAGCCACGAAAGAGGUAGUUACCGAGGAGUUUUUGCGAGUCUUUUGUUUUUGAGUCGCAUUUGGUCUGUUUUAGGGCAAAUUCUGUACAACAUGUAAUAUAUGGGUACCUAACUUGGAAAAAUUAUGUGAACGACAUUUUUAAGCAUGGAUUGGGUUAUAAAAAGUUAUGUUGGACGAGCCACGAAAGAGUUAGUAUCGAGGGGGUUUUUUGUGUCCUUUGUUUUCGAGUUGCGUUUGGUAGGUUUAAGGGCAAAUUAUGCACAAGCUGUCAUAUAUGGGUACCUAACUUGGAAAAAUUAUGUGAACGGCAUUUUUUAAUUAUGGAUUGGGUUAUAAAAAGUUAUGUUGGAGGAGCCACGAUAGAGUUAGUUAUCGAGGAGCUUUUGCGUGUCCUUUGUUUUCGAGUCGCGUUUGGUCGCUUUUAGGGCAAAUGCUGGACAAGCUGUCAUAUAUGGGUACCUGACUUGGAAAAAUUCUUUGAGCAGAACUUUUUAAGCAUUGGGUAGCAAUAAGUUAUUUUGGACGAGCCAAGAAAGAGGUAGUUAUCGAGUAGUUUUUGCCUGUCCUUUGUUUUCGGGUCGCGUUUGGUCGGUUUUAAGACAAAUAUUGUACAAGACGUCAUAUAUGGGUACCUAACGUGGAAAAAUUAUGUAAAUGACAUUUUCUAAGUAUGGAUUGGGUAGCAAUAAGUUAUUUUUGACGAGCCAAGAAAGAGGUAGUUAUCGUGGAGUUUUUGCAUGUCCUUUAUUUUUGAGUCGCGUUUGGUCGGUUUUAGGGCAAAUUCUGUACAAUAUGUAAUAUAUGGGUACCUAACUUGGAAAAAUUAUGUGAAUGGAAUUUUUUAAGCAUGGAUUGGGUUAUAAAAUGUUAUAUUGGACGAGCCACGAAAGAGUUAGUUAUCGAGGAUUUUUUGCGUGUCCUUUGUUUUUGAGUCGCAUUUGGUAGGUUUAAGGGCAAAUUAUGCACAAGAUGUCAUAUAUGGGUGCCUAACUUGGAAAAACUAUGUAAAGGGCAUUUUUAAGCAUGUAUUGGGUAGCAAAAAGUUAUUUUGGACGAGCCAUAAAAGAGGUAUUUAUCGAGGAGUUUUUGCGUGUCCUUUGUUUUCAAGUCGCAUUUGGUCCGUGUUUGGGCAAAUUCUGGACAAGCUGUCAUAUAUGGGUACCUCACUUGGAAAAAUUCUGUGACCAGCAUUUUUUAAGCAUGGAUUAGGUAGCAAUAAUUUAUUUUGGAUGAGCCAAGAAAGAGGUAGUUAUCGAGUAGUUUUUCCGUGUCCUUUGUUUUGAGUCGCGUUUGGUCGGUUUUAGGGCAAAUUCUGUACAAGACGUCAUAUAUGGGUACCUAACAUGGAAAAAUUCCGUGAACGAAAUUUUUUAAGCAUGGAUUAGGUAGCAAAAAGUUAUUUUGGACGAGCCACGAAAGAGGUAAUUAUCGAGGAGUUUCUGCGUGUCCUUUGUUUUUGAGUCGCGUUUGGUCGGUUUUAGGGUAAAUUCUGUACAAGAUGUCAUAUAUGGGUACCUAACUUGGAAAUAUUCUAUGAACGACAUUUUUAAGCAUGGAUUGGGUAGCAAAAAGUUAUUUUGGGCAAGCCAACAAAGAGGUAAUUAUCGAGGAGUUUCUGCGUGUCCUUUCUUUCCGAGUCGUGUUUGGUCGGUUUUAGGGCAAAUUCUGUAACAGAUGUCAUAUGUGGUACCUACCUUGGAAA